rnacentral:rRNA from 1 species
AACGAACGCUGGCGGCAUGCCUAACACAUGCAAGUCGAACGAGACCUUCGGGUCUAGUGGCGCACGGGUGCGUAACGCGUGGGAACCUGCCCUUAGGUUCGGAAUAACUCCCCGAAAGGGGUGCUAAUACCGGAUAAUGUCUUCGGACCAAAGAUGUAUCGCACUUGGAUGGGCCCGCGUUGGAUUAGCUAGUUGGUAGAGUAAAAGCCUACCAAGGCUACAAUCCAUAGCUGGUCUGAGGGGAUGAUCAGUCACACGGGAAAUGACACACGGCCCAGACUACUGCAGGAGGCAGCAGUGAGGAAUAUUGUACAAACGGAGGAAGCAAGAUCCAGCCAGGCCGCGUGAGUUAUGAAGGCCUUAGGGUUGUAAAGCUCUUUUACCCGGGAUGUUAAUGACAGUACCGGGCGAAUAAGCACCGGCUAACUCCGUG